ACCCAACGAAGCAGUGAUGGAAUACGCGCAAUAAACGUGUGGAUUUUUAUUUUAAUUUCAAACGCCUAAAACGUCUCUUAAACGUGCAAUAACGUAGUUUUUUCCUAUUAGUGGCGUUUUCGUUUUUCUUUUUGAUUUUUUUAUAUGAAUUUUUGUUUCACAACAACAGUUUACACUUUGAAAAUUACAAAGGAAAUUAAAGAAAAAAGCUAAACAAAAGGAUUGCCAAGAAAAGAGCAUAGAAAAAUUUUGUGUUAAUAAGAAAAAGAUUUUGCGAAAAGCAACAUAAAGUGAUUUUCUUUUUCAACAUUUCUUGCGCAAAAAUAACAAAAAAAGAAGUCAAAAUAUAAAGCAAAAUAUAAAAAUUAUCAUAAAUAUAACAAAAAAUAAAAAAAACUAAUAAAAACAACAAAACCUCUCUGACCCCUUGGAGAAAAAAAAAACACAACUACAAUAAGCAGCAAAACCUCGGGAAAGGAAAACUAUCAGCACACCACCAAAAACAACAAUUUUAAUACCAUUCCAAGCUGUACUCCAUCAACAACAAAUCUUAUUAUAAACAACUAAAAUUUUGUUGUUAUUAGUUUUUGCCUUAACUCACCUCGUGUUUAUAUUAUUUUUUGCUGUUUUUUUUUUUUUUUGAUAAUUUUUGGUUGUGUUUUCUGUUGUUGUUUUUGUGAAUACUCUU